AUACGGAGGGCGCAAGCGUUGUUCGGAAUUAUUGGGCGUAAAGCGCGUGUAGGCGGCUUGGUAAGUCGGGUGUGAAAUCCCGGGGCCCAACCCCGGAACUGCACUCGAUACUGCUUGUCUAGAGUCCCGGAGAGGAGAGCGGAAUUCCCGGUGUAGAGGUGAAAUUCGUAGAUAUCGGGAGGAACACCAGUGGCGAAGGCGGCUCUCUGGACGGUGACUGACGCUGAGAUGCGAAAGCGUGGGGAGCAAACAGGAGUAGAUACCCCGGUAGUCC
rnacentral:rRNA from 1 species